GGCCAAGACCAGCUGAGCAGCAACACCUAAAAGAGCCAGUUGUGCUAAAAUCCUGGCUCGACCUGCAGUGGUUUCAGCCCCCCCCAAAAAAGGAUAUCUUUGGGAGAAGAAAAGGCCAAGGGGUUCCCAGACUGUGGUCAGGUGACCACCAGUAUCCUGUGAACUUCAUUCAGAAAACAGAGAGUGAUGUAAGCAGCAGACCCGAAGCAAAGUUAGGCAACGGACUGCUAUUGUGGCUUUCCCUUAUACGGAGAUUUUACUAUGAAACGGUACACCAUGGAAGAGAAGUACAAAAUCAUGCGCUAAGGGACUGCUAGGGUAUUCAACCGAGGAUCUAGAAGGCAGAGAAAACCUUAAGAGUCAUGCAUUAUGCUUAAAACUGAAUCUAUUCCAAGGCUUUAUUUCAAAGAGAUCCAAGAUUCCGGAACAGGAGGUCAUGCAGGUUCAGUUCUUUGUAUACAGUAUGCCCAGCAAAACAUGUUGAAUCUUUUGAGAAUAUUCUGAGGUUUAGUAUUUCAUUUCCUGGGCGGAAUACAAGAAAAGCAGUCUGCUAGAUUACUUUCACAAAGCUGAUAUUGGCUGGCAAAAGGAAAGCUAAUUUUAAAGCAGAUAGUGGUGAAAAUAACAAAUCUGUGCAACUGCCUCAGAAAUUGCCUAAAUGAAAUUUUAUUCUGUUUUAACCAGCUCUCCCCCCCUUGUCUCCACACCCAUCGUUCUUGUUUUUGUAUACAUUCUUCUUUCGCUGGGACUACUUCUUCUUCUUCUUCUUCUUCUUCUUCUUCUUCUUCUUCUUCUUCUUCUUCUUCUUCUUUCCAUUUUUGGGCAAGAAACAUUCUUGCUGCUGUUGAUGCACCUAGACGGUUGGGGGAAACCGCCAGGGGUAAAAAAAUGACCAAAGACGUGGAAUAUAUAUGAAAUUAGAUAAUAUUAAUGAAAGAAUCAAUGUUUAAAUGUUCAAAAACGAUAAUAUGUUUGCUUAUAGAGUAAAUGGAUAAUAAGUGAUUUAAACAUAAAAUGCAAUUGAAAGUACAAAAGAAACACAGGAAACAAGGUUAUAAUUUGCUGAUAAAUUUAUUAUCAAGAUUGCACUGUG